rnacentral:lncRNA from 1 species
AAAUACCCUUAGGAAUUGAGAAAUUCCCUAUAUAUCCCUGAUUUCAGAAAAUAUUAAUUAAUUAAAAAGUUUAGUUGAUUAUUAUUUUUAUUUUUAUCUAGUAGUCCUACAUGAUGAUGAUUAUUUAUACAUGUGAUGUAUGAUGUGUGGACGGAUGAUCAUGGACCGUGUGAUGUGUGUACUUAUGAUUAUUAUUAUUGAGGUCUGCGAACCUCCAUUAUAUUUCUCGUUUAUUGUCGGGCCUGCGUGCCUAUGAUUAAGUUGUAAUCACAUGAGGAGGCGCAGCGGGAGCGUGGAUGCGAUAGCGGGACCCACGAGACGGAUGAUCGUGAUGCAUGGAGAUGCAUCAAGAUGUCGACGAAAUCGACGAGGACGAGAUGGACGAUCACAGGGCAUGGAGAUGCACCGUUGCACACAUAGAUCUUGAUGUGAGUGAUUAUGCCUACUGGCUCGGGCCUAAUCAUAUUAGGUUGUGG